rnacentral:snRNA from 1 species
AGGGCGAGGUUAUCCAUUGCACUCCGGAUGUGCUGACCCCUGCGAUUUCCCCCAAUGUGGGAAACUUG